UUUCCAUAAUAUGGAAUGAUACCUUGGAGAAAAUUAGAUUGAAUAUUCAUAUCUAAUAUCCCCAAAGUAUCUAAUGAGUCUUCUGUGUUUCCUUCAACAAAACCAUUGCCAUUUCCUCUGCAGGUGAUUCAAUAUGAUGCUUCCAUAAUGACGGUGGCUGGCUUCAGCUGGGUUCACCUCUGAACUAUGGGCUUCCUCCAAGUGUAGGCCGAAAUUUGCCUCAGUACAUCUCCGGCAAGUGUCUGCUUGCACAGAUGUGCGUCUGUCUGUGCUGGGUGAACCCAAAACAGGAGUAGUGCCAGAUUGGCCCCAGCACUGAGAUGAGUAAUGGGGGCUAAGUGCAGAAGGUAAAGCCUUUCCACCUGAGGCAUUUGAUUAUUAAUGUUUCGCUAAUGGCAUUAAAUGAGGGUACGAUCAACGGAGCACGUUUGCCUUGCGAAAUUACAGUAAAUACUUUAUUUUUGCAGAUAUCAUUGGCUAACGAAACACAUACUCGUGGCUUUUCCUAAAGCUCAAAACUAAACAUUCUGGUAUGUGAUCGAGAGAGAGAGAGGUGUUAUUCUAAAGGAAGCAAUCUGUCGACACAGAAUCACAGCUUUUGCCUAUUUCAAUUACCCACUUUGAAGAACAAAUUUAGCGAGAGAUUCCACCCCAGUCAUAGAUGCCAAACGCCUGAUGACAGAGAGUAGACAGGUGUGCUCGGAAACGUGUCGUUUCUAGUCAAAAUAGGGCUGAGGAAUCCAAGGAGGGCAGCAGAGCCACGAGCAGAAAUCCUUUGGCAGAGCGUUUGUGCUCGGCACGCGGAGCAAGGACCUGGACUUGGUGAGAGAGAACAUUUUACCAAAUGGCAAAAGAUGGCUGUGUGGCCAUCGGGGUGACGGUGAGCUCAUGCCGCAGAAGAGGGCUAUCGUUGUAGAGCCUCCUGUGGGUGCUUGACACGGCUAAUAUGUCAUUGUGUUUAAAGAACACCUUUGUGUUGCCCCGUAGAUUCUACAGACAUGGUGUCUCGUGUAUGCCCAGGACAACAAGUCAAAGCACAGGGCUCGGGUGACAGACAUGGAGCAGAGAGCUCUCUGAGCCCUCUGGGUGGACCUUUUAAGCCGAGCCAUUGGCCUGUUUGCUUUUAACCCUUUGCAAAGUGGUUGAGUUGAAAAGACAAGAAGAACUUUUUUUUCUUUCCUUCCCCUCCGAAGGACAAAGACAAGAUGACCCUAAACGUGAGUCUGGAUGCACUGCCCUGGCUCCUGGGGAGAAGACUCCCAUGCUGGGAAGAUCCCUUAGAUCCCGCCACGGGUCUGCGAGACCGCCUGCAGUCGGCUUCGGUCUGGAGGCAGAGGAGGUGGAAACAGCAAGGGCUCAGGUGGUUUCCGUAGGUUUGGCCAUUCCUAUGUAGAGACGGUGGCGUUUUCCGGUCAGAAGCCCGAGCUGUCACACAGAAGCAGGCUCUGCUCUGUCCGACUCACCUAUCUUAUCAAGAAUGAUCAGAUCACUGGAGAGGGCUGCUAAAUAAACACUCUGUGUUUUGAUUAAAGUAUUGGAAAAAUGAAAUCCA